GUGCCAGUGGCGCAGCUGGAUAGCGCGUUGGACUCCGACUCCAAAGGUCGCAGGUUCGAAUCCUGUCUGGCAUACCA
rnacentral:tRNA from 1 species